rnacentral:tRNA from 1 species
GGCGGGAUAGCUCAGUCGGUUAGAGCGGCGGAAUCAUAAUCCGCGUGUCGGGGGUUCAAGUCCCUCUCCCGCUACCA